GCAGUCACCCCGAAAUACUCUAUCUAUUCCCAAGAACAUGAGCAAAGAAAAGGAGGAAAUAUUUUAUCGGAAAAAAAAAAGCAUUUGAAAAGCUGGUUAUGAUUUCUCAGUCCAGUGACUUAUUCCAAAGUUUGAAAGUUAAGCCGGUAGCUAGAGCUAUAUUUCAAUGCAUACAUAUAGAGAUCAAAAUUGUAAGAAAUGAUGCUAUUUGCACAAGGUAAAUGCAAGUGGUCCUGUUGGUUCAUGGUGCUGUGGCAUCCGACAGCAGACCGCAUCUGUUUGUCCUAAAGUGGCAGGAAGCAAACAGUUGGCAACUAUUUGUGAGUUACUCUGGGUUAAAUUAGGGAAAGCAUGAACAUAUUCAAAACGUAACACAUUAACUAAAGUUGCAGAGUAGCAAAUGGGCCACCAGUUGCCAUUUUAUUCAUCGACUAUGCGUACAAAUUACACAUAAAUUGGAUUUCCCUUCUCUGAGCAUCCUAGGUUUGUAUAAGCAAAGCAUUAUAGAAAUAUAGGAAUCAGAACAGCAAACCAGGCAUAUUGCAUCCAGAAUGCAUGAUAGUUAAAAUAACUACAUAUGAUGGUCACAAUGACAUUCAAAAGCCACAAAAAAGUUCAAUCAACCAAUACGAACCUAGCACAUUUUCACCACAUAUAGAGAAUUGCUUGGGGUAUUUUGCUAGAUAAUUUUACCAAGUUAAGACCCAAUCCUCAUUGGCAGCAUGAUUUCAACUUUUACACUAAACAAGAUUCAAGAAGCACGUCCUUACCAAAAGUAUAGGCAGAUGGAAAUG
rnacentral:misc_RNA from 1 species